AUUGAACGCUGGCGGCAGGCUUAACACAUGCAAGUCGAGCGAGCGGCGGACGGGUGAGUAAUGUCUGGGAAACUGCCUGAUGGAGGGGGAUAACUACUGGAAACGGUAGCUAAUACCGCAUACCAUCAGAUGUGCCCAGAUGGGAUUAGCUAGUAGGUGGGGUAAGGGCUCACCUGGGCGACGAUCCCUAGCUGGUCUGAGAGGAUGACGAGGCACACUGGAACUAGGACACGGGCCAUAUUCCUACGGGAGGCAGCAGUGGGGAAUAUUGCAAAAUGGGCGCAAGCCUGAUGAAGCUAUGCCGCGUGCGUGAAGAAGGCCUUAGGGUUGUAAAGCACUUUCAGCGAGUAGGCGUUACGCGCAGAAGAAGCACCGGCUAACUCCGUGCCAGCAGCCGCGGUAAUAC
rnacentral:rRNA from 1 species